UACGGAGGGUGCAAGCGUUGUUCGGAAUUACUGGGCGUAAAGCGCGUGUAGGCGGCUUGGCAAGUCGAAUGUGAAAGCCCCGGGCUUAACCCGGGAACUGCAUCCGAAACUGCCUCGCUAGAGCCUCGGAGAGGAAGGCAGAAUUCCCAGUGUAGGGGUGAAAUCCGUAGAUACUGGGAGGAAUACCGGCAGCGAAGGCGGCCUUCUGGACGAUGACUGACGCUGAGACGCGAAAGCGUGGGGAGCAAACAGG
rnacentral:rRNA from 1 species